rnacentral:rRNA from 1 species
CUGGAGGUAUCAGAAGUGCGAAUGCUGACAUAAGUAACGAUAAAGCGGGUGAAAAGCCCGCUCGCCGGAAGACCAAGGGUUCCUGUCCAACGUUAAUCGGGGCAGGGUGAGUCGACCCCUAAGGCGAGGCCGAAAGGCGUAGUCGAUGGGAAACAGGUUAAUAUUCCUGUACUUGGUGUUACUGCGAAGGGGGGACGGAGAAGGCUAUGUUGGCCGGGCGACGGUUGUCCCGGUUUAAGCGUGUAGGCUGGUUUUCCAGGCAAAUCCGGAAAAUCAAGGCUGAGGCGUGAUGACGAGGCACUACGGUGCUGAAGCAACAAAUGCCCUGCUUCCAGGAAAAGCCUCUAAGCAUCAGGUAACAUCAAAUCGUACCCCAAACCGACA